rnacentral:rRNA from 1 species
UAGGGAGUCUUCCACAAUGGACGAAAGUCUGAUGGAGCAACGCCGCGUGAGUGAAGAAGGGUUUCGGCUCGUAAAACUCUGUUGUUAAAGAAGAACAUAUCUGAGAGUAACUGUUCAGGUAUUGACGGUAUUUAACCAGAAAGCCACGGCUAACUACGUGGCAG